GUGAGGAAUAUUGCGCAAUGGAGGCAACUCUGACGCAGCCAUGCCGCGUGCAGGAAGAAGGCGCUACGCGUUGUAAACUGCUUUUAACCGGGAAGAAACCCCAGGACGUGUCCUGGGUUGAAGGUACCGGAGGAAUAAGCACCGGCUAACUUCGUGACAGCAGCCACGGUAAUACGAAGGGUGCAAGCGUUAUCCGGAUUCAUUGGGUUUAAAGGGUGCGUAGUCGGAGCGUCAAGUCAGUGGUGAAAUCCUGCAGCUUAACUGUAGACUUGCCAUUGAUACUGGCGUUCUUGAGUGAGCUUGAAGUGGGCGGAAUGUGCCGUGUAGCGGUGAAAUGCUUGGAUAUGGCACAGAACACCAAUUGCGAAGGCAGCUCACUAAGGCGAUACUGACGCUGAGGCACGAAAGCGUGGGGAUCGAACAGGAUUAGAUACCCUAGUAGUCC
rnacentral:rRNA from 1 species